rnacentral:rRNA from 1 species
GACGAACGCUGGCGGCGUGCUUAACACAUGCAAGUCGAACGAUGAAGCUGGAGCUUGCUCCGGUGGAUUAGUGGCGAACGGGUGAGUAACACGUGAGCAAUCUGCCCUUGACUCUGGAUAACUGCGGGAAACUGUAGCUAAUACCGGAUAUGAGGCUCGAAGGCAUCUUCGGGUCUGGAAAGAAUUUCGGUCAAGGAUGAGCUCGCGGCCUAUCAGCUUGUUGGUGAGGUAAUGGCUCACCAAGGCGACGAGGGGUAGCCGGCCUGAGAGGGUGACCGGCCACACUGGGACUGAGACACGGCCCAGACUCCUACGGGAGGCAGCAGUGGGGAAUAUUGCACAAUGGGCGAAAGCCUGAUGCAGCAACGCCGCGUGAGGGAUGAAGGCCUUCGGGUUGUAAACCUCUUUUAGCAGGGAAGAAGCGAAAGUGACGGUACCUGCAGAAAAAGCACCGGCUACCUACGUGCCAGCCGCCGCCGUAA